AUUGAACGCUGGCGGCAGGCCUAACACAUGCAAGUCGAGCGGAGCGGCGGACGGGUGAGUAAUGCCUAGGAAUCUGCCUGGUAGUGGGGGAUAACGUCCGGCAACGGGCGCUAAUACCGCAUACUAUCAGAUGAGCCUAGGUCGGAUUAGCUAGUUGGUGGGGUAAAGGCCUACCAAGGCGACGAUCCGUAACUGGUCUGAGAGGAUGAUCAGUCACACUGGAACUGAGACACGGUCCAGACGCCUACGGGAGGAAGCAGUGGGGAAUAGUCGACAAGGGGCGAAAGCCUGAUGCAGCCAUGCCGGGUAUGUGAGGAAGGUCUUCGGAUUGUAAAGCACUCUAAGUUGGGAGGCGUUACCAACAAAAUGAUCACCGGCUAACUUCGUGCCAGCAGCCGCGGUAAUUC
rnacentral:rRNA from 1 species